GUGUGUGUGUGAGUGGUUGAGAGACGUAGCGCUGUGUGUAUGCGUGCAUUUUGUGCGCUUGUGUGCGUCGUCCGCCGCCGCCUGCCUGGUUGAUAGGCCAUAAACGCAAUUUUUGAAUUUCAUGCUCGUCUAUUCGGCGCUAGGUUUCGGUGGUGCGCAGCUCGCAGCAGCAGCAAGCAGCGUUCGUUGUGUGCAUUUCUCGUCUCGUCUAACACUAAAAAAAAAAACAAAAAAAAAACAUUUCCCCACAACGGCAACACGGCCACGGCAAAUAACACAGCAACACUUUAGCAAGCUGACCACACAACCAACAAAUUUUUAUUAAUUUUCUAAAUUAUUACGAACAACAACAACAACAAUACUAACAACAAAUAUCAACAACAACAUCAACAAAGCAACGACAAAGCGGAAAUGCAUAAAAAAAAUAAAUACAAAUUCAGUUUAUAAAAUUGCAAUUCGAGUGCAAAAGCAAAAAAGAAAAGUUUUGAAGCAGCCACGAAAAAUUUUGUGAAGCAGAAAACUGCUUUUCAUUUAUGAUUUAAGUUUAGUUUACGUUUGUGUUCGAAGCACACAUCAAAUCAAAUCAUAAAGUAAUAUAUAAAUAUCAAAAUUAAACCACACACAUACGUCCAAGGCCGGCAAACAAAUACAAUAACAAAUGCGUGUGUGUGUGCUGCGUAUGUGUGUGUAAGUGUGUGUGUGUACAUUUGACAAGUGAUUGAAGGUCCAAAUGUCACUGUGAAAAUGUCUGAACAAACUAAUCACGACAACAAAACCAACAACAAUCGACAGCAGAAUCGGCGCAUGCAACAAAAUGCACACUUUGAACAUUUAACCAACUAGACUACAAAAGCAUCAACAACAACAAAUAAUAACAUUCAUUUUGAUUAUGUUCGAAAAUGAAUAAAUAAACAAAAAAAAAAUGAACUGAUUCAGAAACUUUUGUAAAUGCAAAAAGCAACGCAAAAAUUCAAAUUGGCAAACAUCAUUUUGGGCUAAACACAAAAAAUUUAAAACAAAUACAAAAACUAUUUUGGCAAGCUGCGUGCAAAAAAGAAAAUAUAUAAUUAAUAAAAUAUAUAAAAUUUUCAAUUAAAUAAAACAUAAUUAUUUGGCAAACACAUUGAGGAAAUCGAAAUCGGCAACCUACACACAUAAAACCGUAAAGGAAAAUCAACGACUAACAAGCAAGGAAAACAACAACAAUUAAAUGUAACAUUUAAUUAAAAGCGAAAAACAACAACAACAAAUAGCAAAAAUCGUCUAAUUUAAAAAAAAAACAGACGAAAAACCGCAAAAAUUUAAGCCAACAACUAAAUUGGAAAACUCUUCAAAA